rnacentral:rRNA from 1 species
GACGAACGCUGGCGGCGUGCUUAACACAUGCAAGUCGAACGGAAAGGCCUGCUUUCCCUUGUGGAUUGCGGGUACUCGAGUGGCGAACGGGUGAGUAACACGUGAGUGAUCUGCCCCCAACUUGGGUAUAAGCCUGGGAAACUGGGUCUAAUUCCCGAUAGGACUGCAGGGUGGUGCCUGUGGUGGAAAACGAUUUUCUAGUGGUUGGGGAUGAGCUCGCGGCCUAUCAGCUUGUUGGUGGGGUAAUGGCCUACCAAGGCGGCGACGGGUAGCCGGCCUGAGAGGGUGGACGGCAACAUUGGGACUGAGAUACGGCCCAGACUCCUACGGGAGGCAGCAGUGGGGAAUAGUGCACAAUGGGCGGAAGCCUGAUGCAGCGACGCCGCGUGGGGGAUGACGGCCUUCGGGUUGUAAACUCCUUUCGACCGCGAGGACGCCACCUGGUUGGAAGGGUGGUGACGGUAGUGGUAGAAGAAGCACCGGCUAACUACGUG